rnacentral:rRNA from 1 species
UUUUUUUUAAAAGCUUAAAAAAUAUAACCUGCCCACUGAGGAAUUAAAGGGCUGCAGGAUUUAACUGUGCGAAGGUAGCAUAAUAAUUAGUUUUUUAAUUAAGGAAUGGAAUGAAUGGUUGAAUCGUGUUUUAUUUUUAUUUUAUUUGUUUACUGAAAUUGAACAUUAAGUGAAAAUGCUUAGGUUAUCCUAAAAGACGAUAAGACCCUAUAGAUCUUUAUUUUUGUAUCACAACACUCAGUAGAUGAUGUUUUAGUGGUGUAAAAGUUUUGCUGGGGUGGUAUAAGAAAUUAAAAAACUUCUUAUAAUUCAAUAACUUAAAAUUAGAAUAAAAAAAGAUACCUUAGGGAUAACAGCGUUAUUAAAUUUUAGAGAUCUUAUCGAUAAUUUAGUUUGCGACCUCGAUGUUGAAUUAAGAAGUUAGUUUUUAGCAGCAUAAAAAUUAUAUAGUCUGUUCGACUAUUAAUAUCUUACA